AGGGCACCACCAGGAGUGGAGCCUGCGGCUUAAUUUGACUCAACACGGGAAAACUCACCCGGCCCGGACACCGUAAGGAUUGACAGACUGAGAGCUCUUUCUUAAUUCGGUGGGUGGUGGUGCAUGGCCGUUCUUAGUUGGUGGAGCGAUUUGUCUGGUUAAUUCCGAUAACGAACGAGACUCUGGCCUAUUAAAUAGACGGUAUAUCGAAAAGUAUAUCGCACUUCUUAGAGGGACAAGCGGCGUCUAGCCGCAUGAAAUAGAGCAAUAACAGGUCUGUGAUGCCCUUAGAUGUCCGGGGCUGCACGCGCGCUACACUGAAAGAAUCAGAGUGCGCUUUGCCUAGUUCGGAAGAACUGGGUAACCCAAGUAAAUUCUUUCGUGCUUGGGAUAGGGAAUUGCAAUUAUUUCCCUUAAACGAGGAAUUCCCAGUAAAUGCGGGUCAUAAGCUCGCGUUGAUUACGUCCCUGCCCUUUGUACACACCGCCCGUCGCUACUACUGAUUGGAUGACUUAGUGA
rnacentral:rRNA from 1 species